GCAUGUAACCACCCUGAAUGCACCUGAUCUCGUCGGAUCUCAUAAGCCAAGCAGGGUUGAGUCGGGUUAUGUACUUGGAUGACCAACAGAGCUUGCCAGGGGUUAUAGGCC
rnacentral:rRNA from 1 species